GACGAACGCUGGCGGCGUGCUUAACACAUGCAAGUCGAACGGAAAGGCCCUGCUUUUGUGGGGUGCUCAAGUGGCGAACGGGUGAGUAACACGUGAGUAACCUGCCCUUGACUUUGGGAUAACUUCAGGAAACUGGGGCUAAUACCGGAUAGGAGCUCCUGCUGCAUGGUGGGGGUUGGAAAGUUUCGGCGGUUGGGGAUGGACUCGCGGCUUAUCAGCUUGUUGGUGGGGUAGUGGCUUACCAAGGCUUUGACGGGUAGCCGGCCUGAGAGGGUGACCGGCCACAUUGGGGCUGAGAUACGGCCCAGACUCCUACGGGAGGCAGCAGUGGGGAAUAUUGCACAAUGGGCGGAAGCCUGAUGCAGCAACGCCGCGUGCGGGAUGACGGCCUUCGGGUUGUAAACCGCUUUCGCCUGUGACGAAGCGUGAGUGACGGUAAUGGGUAAAGAAGCACCGGCUAACUACGUG
rnacentral:rRNA from 1 species